rnacentral:piRNA from 1 species
GAGUAGCAAACUAGGAGCAGGA